rnacentral:rRNA from 1 species
AUUUAUAUCUUGAACUGCNAAGGGCUCAUUAAAUCANUUAUAAUCUACUUGAUUGUAAAAUCUACAUGGAUAACUGUAGUAAUUCUAGAGCUAAUACAUGCAAAAAAUCCUGACUGUUAUGNAAAGGAUGUAUUUAUUAGGUACAAAAUCAAUGCUGGCACUUGUGUCGGGUUUAUUGAUGAUUCAUAAUAACUAAACGAAGCGCACGACCUUGANUUGGCGCUGAUACAAACGAGUUUCUGCCCUAUCAACUUUCGAUGGGAGUAUAGAGGACUACCAUGGUUUCAACGGGUNANGGGGAAUA